CCUACGGGAGGCAGCAGUAGGGAAUAUUGCGCAAUGGGGGAAACCCUGACGCAGCAACGCCGCGUGAUCGAUGAAGCCCUUCGGGGUGUAAAGAUCUGUCAGUGGGGACGAAAACUGACGGUACCCACAGAGGAAGCACCGGCUAACUCGGUGCCAGCAGCCGCGGUAAUACGGGGGGUGCACGCGUUGUCCGGAAUCAUUGGGCGUAACGAGUUCGUAGGUGGCACGUUAAGUCUGGUGUUAAAGGCGGAAGCUAAACUUCAGUAGGGCACUGGAUACUGGCGAGCUUGAAUGCGGUAGAGGUAAAGGGAAUUCCUGGUGUAGCGGUGAAGUGCGUAGAUAGCAGGAGGAACAUCGGUGGCGUGAGCGCUUUACUGGGCCGUAAUUGACACUGAGGAGCGAGAGCCGGGGUAGCAAAUGGGAUUAGAUACCCCUGUUC
rnacentral:rRNA from 1 species